rnacentral:misc_RNA from 1 species
GUAUAAGGUUUAUAGGCACAAAGGCCCACUUACUACAUUCUAUAACAUACAUUAGGGGUAUAUUGAAGGAACAUAGACCUGGAAAUGUAAAGACAGACAAUAAAGUCAAUCCUCAAACCUGACAUGCUACAAAAAGCAUUCAGAAAGAGAUCCAAGUCUACAAAGAGUGCACAGGUGGAAAUAUAAAAAUGACAAGUGUGCACAUGUUCCCUAGAGAACCAGCAGCAACUCAUCAGGUUUAUUUCAAUAAUGAUCCUUCCGCAGGUUCACCUACGGAAA